GUGUCAGCCGCCGCGGUAAUACGUAGGGGGCCAGCGUUGUCCGGAAUCAUUGGGCGUAAAGAGCGUGUAGGCGGCCAUGUAGGUCCGAUGUGAAAACUCGAGGCUCAACCUCGAGCUGUCAUUGGAAACCAUGUGGCUAGAGUCCGGAAGAGGAGAGUGGAAUUCCUGGUGUAGCGGUGAAAUGCGCAGAUAUCAGGAAGAACACCUAUGGCGAAGGCAGCUCUCUGGGACGGUACUGACGCUGAGACGCGAAAGCGUGGGGAGCGAACAGGAUUAGAAACCCUGGUAGUCC
rnacentral:rRNA from 1 species